ACCUUUGAGGAAGAACCCAUACAAAUUUUAGAUCGAGAGGUUAAAGUUCUAAGAAGGAAGUCGGUUCCGUUGGUAAAAGUACUGUGGCGUAAUCAUGGAAGGGAAGAAGCUACUUGGGAAUCAGAAGAGACUAUGCGUCAACAAUACCCUCAACUAUUUGGAUCAGGUAAAUUUCAAGGCAGAAAUUUCUUUAAGGGGGUAGAGUUGUAAUGCCCCAAUUUUCGGAAAUUCUGUGAAUGUUGGCAAAAUUUCAUGCUUUAAUUUUGUCAUUUGUGAGUGAAAUUAUGAAAUAGGACCUAUGUGAAAAUGUUUGAAAAUGCUAUAGGCUAAAUUGAAGUGGCCAAAUAAAUAGGAGUGCAAAAUAGGAGGAUUUGC
rnacentral:lncRNA from 1 species